UCUGGCACCUUCGGUGUCCGAGUUGUAAUUUGAAGAUUGUAACCUUGGGGUUGGCUCUUGUCUAUGUUUCUUGGAACAGGACGUCACAGAGGGUGAGAAUCCCGUGCGAUGAGAUGCCCAAUCCUAUGUAAGGUGCUUUCGAAGAGUCGAGUUGUUUGGGAAUGCAGCUCUAAGUGGGUGGUAAAUUCCAUCUAAAGCUAAAUAUUGGCGAGAGACCGAUAGCGAACAAGUACAGUGAUGGAAAGAUGAAAAGAACUUUGAAAAGAGAGUGAAAAAGUACGUGAAAUUGUUGAAAGGGAAGGGUUUGAGAUCAGACUCGAUAUUUUGUGAGCCUUGCCUUCGUGGCGGGGUGACCCGCAGCUUAUCGGGCCAGCAUCGGUUUGGGCGGUAGGAUAAUGGCGUAGGAAUGUGACUUUGCUUCGGUGAAGUGUUAUAGCCUGCGUUGAUGCUGCCUGCCUAGACCGAGGACUGCGAUUUUAUCAAGGAUGCUGGCAUAAUGAUCCCAAACCGCCCGUCUUG
rnacentral:rRNA from 1 species